AGUGAACGCUGGCGGUAGGCCUAACACAUGCAAGUCGAACGGCAGCACAGUAAGAGCUUGCUCUUACGGGUGGCGAGUGGCGGACGGGUGAGGAAUACAUCGGAAUCUACUUUUUCGUGGGGGAUAACGUAGGGAAACUUACGCUAAUACCGCAUACGACCUACGGGUGAAAGCAGGGGAUCUUCGGACCUUGCGCGAUUGAAUGAGCCGAUGUCGGAUUAGCUAGUUGGCGGGGUAAAGGCCCACCAAGGCGACGAUCCGUAGCUGGUCUGAGAGGAUGAUCAGCCACACUGGAAGUGAGAAACGGUCCAGACUCCUACGGGGGGCAGCAGUGGGGAAUAUUGGACAAUGGGGGCAAGCCUGAUCCAGCCAUACCGCGUGGGUGAAGAAGGCCUUCGGGUUGUAAAGCCCUUUUGUUGGGAAAGAAAAGCAGCAGGUUAAUACCCCGCUGUUCUGACGGUACCCAAAGAAUAAGCACCGGCUAACUUCGUG
rnacentral:rRNA from 1 species